UAACGAAUCUUCCGCAAUGUACGCAAGUAUGACGGAGCGACGCCGCGUGUAGGAUGAAGCCCUUCGGGGUGUAAACUACUGUCAGGGGAUAGAAAGUUCUGAUCGUCCCCAGAGGAAGGCACGGCUAACUCUGUGCCAGCAGCCGCGGUAAGACAGAGGUGCCAAGCGUUAGGCGGAAUCACUGGGCUUAAAGCGUGUGUAGGCGGACUCCUAAGUACUUUGUGAAAUCCCACGGCUCAACCGUGGAACUGCUUGGUAUACUGGGAGUCUUGAGCCAGCUAGGGGCUACCGGAACAAAUGGUGGAGCGGUGAAAUGCGUAGAUAUCAUUUGGAACGCCAAUGGUGAAAACAGGUAGCUGGGGCUGUGCUGACGCUGAGACACGAAAGCCAGGGGAGCGAACGGGAUUAGAUACCCCCGUAGUCC
rnacentral:rRNA from 1 species